CCGUUGAUAGCUCGGUUGGUAGAGCGGAGGACUGUAGAGUUGCAGCAGUCAUUAGGUCGCUGGUUCGAAUCCGGUUCGACGGA
rnacentral:tRNA from 1 species